rnacentral:rRNA from 1 species
GAUGAACGCUAGCUACAGGCUUAACACAUGCAAGUCGAGGGGCAGCGCAGUGUAGCAAUACAUGGGUGGCGACCGGCGCACGGGUGCGUAACGCGUAUCCAACCUUCCCGAUACUCAGGGAUAGCCUUCCGAAAGGGAGAUUAAUACCUGAUGGUGUUUCAAUUCCGCAUGUUAUUUGAACUAAAGAUUUAUCGGUAGCGGAUGGGGAUGCGUGACAUUAGAUAGUAGGCGGGGUAACGGCCCACCUAGUCUACGAUGUCUAGGGGUUCUGAGAGGAAGGUCCCCCCACACUGGAACUGAGACACGGUCCAGACUCCUACGGGAGGCAGCAGUGAGGAAUAUUGGUCAAUGGUCGGAAGACUGAACCAGCCAAGUAGCGUGAAGGAUGAAGGUUCUAUGGAUUGUAAACUUCUUUUAUACGGGAAUAAAACCUCCACGUGUGGGAGCUUGUAUGUACCGUAUGAAUAAGCAUCGGCUAACUCCGUGCCAGCAGCCGCGGU